rnacentral:rRNA from 1 species
CAGUCGCCACGGUAAUACAGAGGGUGCGAGCGUUAAUCGGAUUUACUGGGCGUAAAGCGUGCGUAGGCGGCUUCUUAAGUCGGAUGUGAAAUCCCUGAGCUUAACUUAGGAAUUGCAUUCGAUACUGGGAAGCUAGAGUAUGGGAGAGGAUGGUAGAAUUCCAGGUGUAGCGGUGAAAUGCGUAGAGAUCUGGAGGAAUACCGAUGGCGAAGGCAGCCAUCUGUCCUAAUACUGACGCUGAGGUACGAAAGCAUGGGGAGCAAACAGGAUUAGAUACCCCGGUAGUCCCUGUCUCUUAUAC